GCAAGUGUUCUGCUCUGGGCCCCACAGCUUCGAUACUUUUUUCGGACUCUGUACCCGAGUAGAUCCUCGGGCUUUCUGCCGAAAUGGAAUCCAGAUGCUGUACUGUGGUUUUAUCGAAGCUCAUUAUGGUGGGUUCUGAACAUCCUCACAGGGACCGUCAUCAGAGCACUUCCCACCCCCUAACCCUAGUUCCUCACGCGCUGGCGCACACCGACGCUGAGAGGUCGAGCUGCCCGGUUCACCGUACCCACUGUUCAUGAUGCACAGGAAGAGGGCUCAUUUCCUGAGUGCCACCCCCACAAGGCAGUCACCCCGAGUGGGUUUCCAGGGCAAACCCCACUGGUUCUAGCCUGUGAACUGUAAACGAAAACAGCUUUACUUCCUUGCAUUUGUACUUUGGCCAUAAAGCCGUAGAGAGUCAGUGUAAAUACUUUCGCAGCGUUGGCAGACCAGUUCCACGUGACUUUUGUGGGCAAAGCCAUGAGAUACGACGCAGGGGGCUCGGCAAUGUACUGGGCAGGGCGAAGGGGCAGGCACAGGGCGGCCCGGGCCGCGGGGUCCUUGGCAGAGAGCCUGGUCCGGGGGAUCUGCACAGAGGAUGGGGAUGGUCCAGUUCCGAGUGCAGCCCUUGGUCUGCAGGACGGAUGGUGAGCUUCAGGGCAGGUCAAAGCAGGUCAAGGGAAAACCCAGCCAGACAGGCGGGAAAGAGGGAGCCCUCGGACCUUGCGACCUAACCUGUGCAGCUCAGAGCCUCCAAACCCAAACUGGCACCUUGGGUGAAUACCCUCAGCACCCCGAGGCUCAUGGCCGCUCGUCUGUGCUCAAUCACAUAAGACGACGGAGGCAACAAGUCUUCCUUGAGAGGACCACUAAGUGACCUUGGCAUUUUGAGCCAAGCGUCCUGUGUGCCCUUCCUGAGGUGGCUGUGAGAGCGCCCGGGAGCAAUUGGAGAUGCCGCAAACUGGAACACAAGACCAAGACGGCAAGGUCGUGGCUUCACGUGGACUGGUUUCUAAGGGAACGUUGGCCCUUGUCUCCUCUCUGCUCACCACGACUCUGGGGGUGCGGCCUCUGCUCAGGCCCAGCUCUCGGGGCUUCUAUCCGCCUUACGCUGAGCUCUGCACGCAACAUGGAUCCGGUGGGAGAAAACUGGGAGCCACCAGGGAGGAGGUUCAUGGCUCAAAGGAAAUCCAGGUCCUGAGCGCAGGUUUGGGCCUACCGGGCACUGAGCGCCACGACCAACACCGAUGCAAAUGGGAGGGCGUUCGGCCUCCUGGCUGGUGACGUGCUCAGAGCUGGCCUGCCCAGCGUUCUCACAGGCGGCCUUCUGCUCUCGCCUAUAUUGUCAUCCAGAUAUAGACUAAACGUGUGAUCCUUUAAAAACUCAAGAUAUAUCUCAACUGCCAUCUAGUAAAGGUCACAGAAAUAUUAAUAUACUUCUUAAACAAGAGGACCAAAAGGCUCAGCUUUCAGCACAAGUUAAAGUGUGGUGUAGCAAAUUGCAGAAAAUCAGUGGCCUGUAUCUCUCCAAGAAUUAUUUCAUAAUGAAUUUACCAGUUGAGAAAUAAAAAGGACCUCUCUGGAGCCAGCCUCAUACACAAAGCGGUGAACUACACGCUGGGACUAUGGACUUUCAAGGAGGCUUUCUGAGAACAAGGGGACAGGUGAGUGAUGUCCACACACCCUGGGGGGUGGGGAAGGGGUAGCCCCCAACGAUCUGGAUGCAAGUCACGGUUCAGGGGAACAGAGCAAACUCGUUUCUUGAAGGAGUGUGUGAGGAGGACGAGCCGUCAGGGUGCGUGGUGGGAUCGCAGGUGUGGGCUGUGCCCUGCUCCCUAUGUUCCCAAGGGCCAGUCUGGUGGAAGCAUCCCCCAGAUGUGACCAGAUGUGACUCCAUUCAGCAGACACAGAUAGGGCUCCACAUCACCCAAGGAAGUCUGGCCGCUGCCUGUUUGGGGGGCUCCAAUCUUUUGAGCACUGACGUCAGCUCUUGGCUCCACAGAGCAGUGGAGGACACCCCAGCCCUCCAGUUGGCACCUGGCAUUGGUAAGGGCCGGUGCAGGAGGCUGUGCCAUGCCCAAGAGUGGUGGCUGGACAACCAUACCCUGUGUGGGGUUCCAGGCUGACCCUGGAGAAGGCUCCAAGAGCUCAGACCUGGAGAUCAUCAUACCAGGGAGGUGAGAGUUCCUGGUAUUUCUCCAAAGUACGUGGACCUUUGAAAAACCCUCACCCUCUUCUGCUUAAAAGGUGAGGUUAGCUAAUGUGGGGAGUGCUGUUGUUCAUGUUGACUGUGGUUUGACCCUAGUUCCUUUGAAUUUUUUUAUGGUUUGUCCUCGAGGGUGCAUGGAGUCUUAGGCUCCUGAAGGAAGGUUCUGUUCUUCAGAAAAAGCUUCAGCCACCUUCCUUUCUCACAGGCCCCACGGAGAGGUGCCCUUUCCAUCAGAAGCACCGCAUGUGAGAGAGUUGCUCACUUUCACUUCCUGCCUAAGAAGAAAGCAGUGGGUGAUGGGGAGAAGCAGGGCAGGGGCUUCACAGGGGCCAAGCGGGGAGAAACUGUCCUGUGUAGGGGGGGGACACCAAAUUCCCACCGCUGCCCUUCCUGGGCUCUGGCCACUGAAUGUGGGACCAGGGUAUCUUAUUACUCUUGGUUGGAGCUUUCUCCUGAUUCAGAACUUUUUAUCUUCCUAAUUCUCUGAUUUUCUAGUAAAUGCAUCCUCAGUACAGGCUGGGAAGAUGCACAGGUUCUGGUAUUUUCCUUGAUUCAUGGCAAGAACUUUUUGUCCUUGAUGCUCACAUUUCAUAUUAGAAAAUUUCUGGGUUGUUGAGGACAUUCAAAGAGAGAACAUACAGAAAUACCAGGCACUUUAGAAGCAUUCGACACACAAUAACGUUCUUUUUAUUAAAAAUAAGUCUCUUCUGGGGAUCCCUGGGUUGCCCAGCAGUUUAGCGCCUGCCUUCAGCCCAGGACAUGAUCCUGGAGUCCCGGGAUCGAGUCCCACAUCGGGCUCCCUGCAUGGAGCCUGCUUCUCCCUCUGCCUGUGUCUCUGCCUGUCUUUCUCUCUGUGUCUCUCAUGGAUAAAAAAAAUCUUAAAAAAAUAAGUCUCCUCUGAAACAGUUCAUAGCUCCCCUCUUGAGCUGUACUGCUGCCCGUGUGACAAGCUGCCCUUCUCCCACCCUGAACAGCACCUGCGGGCCACUGGCCUCUGACCCUGCUCAACCUCCAGCCAUCCUGAUGAGCUGGUGACACCAUGACUCACCCAUGUGCCAAACCCAGAUGCUGAGAGCCAUCCUACCUCCAAUGUGGAUUCUACUUUGUCUCCCUUUGAUAUAGCUGUCAAAUAAGUCCCCUUAUUUCUGUGACUCAUAAUAUUGCCUUACUUUGGUUAUGUAUAUAAAAUAUAGCAGUUAUCUCCUUGUAGUGAAAA